rnacentral:rRNA from 1 species
CCAGACUCCUACGGGAGGCAGCAGUGGGGAAUAUUGGGCAAUGGGCGCAAGCCUGACCCAGCAACGCCGCGUGAAGGAAGAAGGCUUUCGGGUUGUAAACUUCUUUUGUACGGGACGAAGAAAGUGACGGUACCGUAAGAAUAAGCCACGGCUAACUACGUGCCAGCAGCCGCGGUAAUACGUAGGUGGCAAGCGUUAUCCGGAUUUACUGGGUGUAAAGGGCGAGUAGGCGGGAUUGCAAGUCAGAUGUGAAAACUAUGGGCUCAACCGAUAGAGUGCAUUUGAAACUGCAGUUCUUGAGUGAUGGAGAGGCAGGCGGAAUUCCCGGUGUAGCGGUGGAAUGCGUAGAUAUCAGGAGGAACACCGGCGGCGAAGGCGGCCUGCUGGACCGUGACUGACGUUGAGGCUCGAGAGCGUGGGGAGCAAACAGGAUUAGAUACCCGUGUA